rnacentral:lncRNA from 1 species
UCAAGCACAACUCUAUCCUCAAUAACCUCAUUACAUAACAUACUGAAUAUUUUUACAUUUCAUCAUAAUAAAAUUGUCAUGUCCACAAUCUAACUAUUACAUACAUAUGACUUUCUUUUUCUCUUCUUGCCUUCUCUAUCUAUCCCGUACCUGCAAACCUGGGGGUUAGGGGAGAGGGGUGAGCUAGAUGCCCAGUGAGUAGAACUAUAGAAAGAAUAUUUAAAACAUGCCAUCAUGAAAUGCGUCACUGCGCAAACAAAUCACACCACGGAUGGACUGAUUCAAAAAUCCCUCAACUCCAUGCCCGGCCCUAUUAUGGGCACCACAGGACUUCGUAUUGCCCGGCCCUAUUAUGGGCACCACAGGACUUCGUACUCGGAGUUAUUGCCCGGCCCUAUUAUGGGCACAACAGGACUUCGUAUUCAGAAGGCUAAUGAAUCAUCC